rnacentral:lncRNA from 1 species
UGUGUAUAUUUUGUUACCCUUCAUCUGAUCAAUGUAUAUUUUGUUACCCUUCACAUAAUGCCUAUAGUUUGGGACAGCUCCUUAAAAACAAAUGCAUAUUCAGAUCUAACAUAAAUAAAAGCAAUGUCAAAGAAAUUAUUGAUUCACAUAUUUUUUUCUAGGAUCACAUAUGUUACAACAGUCAACUACUUCUAUCUCUUAUGAAUGAUAUGGUAAAUACAUAUCAAAAACAUUGAGGGAGAGAGAGAUUAAACAAAUAUAUUAAUCUUCUUAGUAAUUGUUACAAGUGAAGAAUAUAUUUUCCCAAGUUCUUAUAAAGUUAAACCUGUUAAAAAGUUUCAGCAUAACUAUAAAUCGAUUUAUUUCUCUUUGAGGUCCUUAAUCUAUUCAAAAUCACAAACAAUAAAAAAACAGUUAUAAUUUUAAACUGCUAUACUCCGAAAUAUUUACUGUCUAAUAACUCACAAUAUUAGAAUGAUAAUAUAAUUAAUAUUUUUUUAAAUUAACAGUUAUUUAACUAAAUGCACUAAUCUGGAUUUUAAAAUAACUGCUAUUUGGUCAACUGCAUUUAUCAUGGUAAUUCACCAUAAUAUUAGAUUUCAAGUUCAAUAACUCAUAACAAAGUCAUGACAGAUCAGAAGAAAUUAGCAAGAAAACAAAGAUUUAGCUUACGACAGAAUUAAAAACGUGGAAAAUACUCAUCAGAUGUCAAUAAUUUGAUCUCCUCUAUUUUUAUUGCUCAAUAUAGUACAUGUCUUCUACUAUACAACAGUGAAAUAUAUUACACUACCUAUAUAUUCUUCAUUUUUAAAACUUUUAUCUUCUUCAAAUUUCAUAAAACUUAUUUCAUCUAUUAAAUACCUUUUUGUGCAUUUUAUCUAAAAUUUCUUCUUUUUAAUUUGUUUAAUUAACUUUAUUUUAUUAUAUUUUUGGUAGAUUUGCAAAGCACUUCAUCUACAGCUUUUCCUGUGUCAAAGGGGAAAGAAAUUUUAGUGGAUGAACAUAUUUAUUCGUAUCCCAUCAGUAUGCCACAAAGUUUUUCUAGAGGUUUGUAUUACAGGAAAAAUAUAUUAUUUCAUGAAUUUAUACAUAUUAAAUAUUACUAUUCUUAUACAUAAAACAAGAUAAUGUCAAAUUUUUAUUGUUAAUUUGCAAAUUAGUUCAUCUACAUUCAAGAAAGUCUAAGGGUAAGUAUAUAUUUAUGGAUUAUAAUGUAUACUCACCUAUGUUAACAACGGAAAAUGGCAUUUUUCAAAGGUAUAUCACUAAAAGAACAUAACAAUAUUCAAUAAGCAUCUGCAAUAUAUUCAAAUUCUAUAUUAUUUGUAACAGAUAACAGAAUAUCAAAUCAUCUAACUCAUGAUGAAAAUGAAGAUGUAGAUAUGUUGACAGCAGAUGAGUUUGGUAGUAGAAAACUAUACAAUGAAGGUAAUUUUUAUAUAUUACUAUCCCUAACCUUUGCUUUGUUUAAACAAAUUACUUUGUUUCUAACGUAUUAUUUUUUUUUAAAAAUAAAAUUAUUAGACUAUUGGGAUAUAGGAGAUCCAAUUUAUGAAUGUCAAUAUUGCGGCACUUACUUUUGGUAUGCGGAAAGAAUUGAUAAGAAGUGUAAAAAAAAAGACAUGUUUUCACUUUGUGUUGUGGUCAUGAAAAGCUUCCCAAUCCUAAGGAUCCUCCUACUAUGUUGAAGGAAUUAUUAUUUGGAUCAGGUAAAUUAAUUUAUUUAAUACAAAUAUAAAUACACGUCAAUAAUUUUGUUUAUCAACUUUACAUUUCUAUAAUUUAUUGUAGGUGAAAAAAGUAACCAUUUCAGAGAGAAUAUCCGAACUUAUAAUUCCAUGUUUUCUUUUACAUCAAUGGGAGGAAAAAUUGAUGCAUCUGUCAAUCAAACAAAAGGGCCAAGAACUUUCAGAUUAUCUGGACAGAAUUAUCAUAAAAUUGGAAGCUUAUUGCCUAAUGAGGGAUCUACUCCAAAAUUUUGCACAAUUAUAUAUUUAUGAUACAGAAAAUGAGGUAACAAAUAGAAUGAAUGUUAUCAGGUGUGUACUUAUUUUAUUUAUGCUUUAUGUAAGAUUAAUUAUAACUGUAGUAAUUAAACACUAUUAUCAACAUAUUACUAUUCACUUUGUAGUAGCGGUGAAAGCAACAAUCAAAUCCAUGCUCAAAUUGUCACCGAACUGAAGGAAAUGCUUGAUAAACAUAAUGUUCUUGCAAAGAGUUUUCGUAUGGUUAGAGAUAGAUUUCAAGCUGAACAAAGUACAAAUGUUAAACUAAGACUUAUCGGAAGAAGAGGAUCAGAUGGAAGAGGAUAUAACUUGCCAUCAGUUUCAGAGGUAGCAGCUUUGGUUGUUGGCGAUUUUGAACCAACAAAUACUGACAGAGAUAUAAUAAUCGAAAGUCAAAAUGGACAACUUCAGAGAAUAAAUGAGCUUAAUGCAGCAUAUUUAGGUUUGCAAUAUCCAUUACUACUACCUUAUGGGGAAGAUGGUUAUAGAGAAGAUAUUCCUUUAAAUAGAAUUGAUGAAUCAAGUAAGGGAAGAAAACGUGUUAGUUCUUGCGAAUAUUUUGCAUAUAAAAUUCAAGAAAGGAAGAAUGAAGUACCUACAAUUGUUUCAGCUAAAAGAUUAUUUCAACAAUUCUUGGUUGAUGGAUAUACAAUGAUUGAAUCUUCUCGCUUAUUGUUUUAUAGACUAAAUCAAAGAAAUUUGAGAACACAUUUAUAUAAAGGAUUACAAGAAGCAGUUUUGCAUGGAGACACAGAACCAUCUUCUCAAGGACAAAGAAUUAUAUUGUCUUCUACUUUCACUGGUGGAACACGUUAAAUGUUGCAAAAUUAUCAAGAUGCAAUGGCAAUAUGUAAAUGGGCUGGAUAUCCUGAUUUAUUCAUUACAUUUACAUGCAAUCCCAAAUGGCCUGAAAUUAAGAGAUUUGUGCAUAGUAGGGGAUUGCAUCCAGAAGAUCGCCCAGACAUUAUAACAAGAGUCUUUAAAAUCAAAUUGGAUCAUUUGAUAAAAGAUUUAAGAGACAAUAAAGUUUUUGGAGAAGUAAAAGCGGGUAUGAACUUUAUUUUGCUUUAUUUUAUUAUAUUACAUUUUCAAGUUAAUAUAAUUUGUUUUAUUUAAAUAAAAUCAUAAAUUACAAAUAAUAUUUUGUUUUCUCUUCAUAUAGUGAUUUACACUAUUGAAUUUCAAAAGCGUGGAUUGCCUCAUGCACAUAUCUUACUUUUUCUCCAUGAUAAAUUUCCAAAUGUUGGAGACAUUGAUGCGAUUAUUUCAGCUGAAUUGCCUGAUAAAUUACUUGAUCCGGAUUAUUAUGUGGUUGUUACAAACUUCAUGAUGCAUGGGCCAUGUGGUUCAAUAAGGAAAUCAUCCCCUUGCAUGCAAAAAGGCAAAUGUACAAAGCACUUUCCAAAAAGAUUUUUACCAUCUACCUCACUUGAUGAAGAAGGAUAUCCUUUAUAUCGAAGAAGAGAUGAUGGUAGAUCUACACAGAGAUCAGGUAUUGAUUUAGAUAAUCGAUAUGUUGUACCACAUAAUAAUUUUUUGCUAAUGAAAUAUGGGGCACAUAUUAAUGUUGAAUGGUGCAAUCAAUCAAGAUCGAUUAAAUACUUAUUUAAGUAUGUUAAUAAAGGUCAUGAUCGAGUCACAGUAGCUUUUUGCGAUAGUGUUAAUUCUUCAGAUUCAAAGGUUGUUGAUGAAAUAAAAAUGUAUUGUGAUUGUCGCUAUAUAUCAUCCUGUGAAGCAGCUUGGAGAAUUUUCAAAUUCCCAAUCAACCAUAGAGAACCUUUUGUAGAAAGGUUAUCUUUUCAUCUACCAGACAAUCAAAAUGUCAUAUUUUCAGAUGAUGAUCCAAUUGAUGUUGUUAUCAAUAAACCAACAGUGAAGGAAUCAAUGUUUUUAAGAUGGUUGGAAGCUAAUAAGGAAUUUCCUGAAGCAAGACAUCUAACGUAUGCAGAAUUUCCUUUAAAGUUUGUUUGGAAGCAACAAUCUAAGAGAUGGGAAAAAAGGAAAACUUCAGCAUUUUCUAUUGGAAGAAUUUUCUUUGUUCCACCAGGAUCAGGUGAGCAAUAUUACCUUAGAUUGCUAUUGAAUGUUGUUAAAGGUCCAACUUCUUAUGAGGAAAUCAGAAGAAUAAAUGAUAUUUAUCAUGAGACCUUUAGAGAUGCAUGUUAUGCUCUAGGAUUAUUAGAUGAUGACAAAGAAUAUGUUGAUGCUAUAGUAGAAGCAAGUCAAUGGGGAAUGCCAUCAUAUCUACGACAAUUAUUUGCUAUGCUACUUAUAUCUAAUUCAAUGUCACGUCCGGAGAUAGUGUGGCAAUCAACUUGGCACUUACUAUCAGAAGAUAUCGUUUUUGAAGAAAGAAGAAUAUUAGAUAACCCAGGUAUUUAAUAAUGUUUACACUUGACACUAAUCAUAUAUAAUCUUUUUUUUUUCUUUUUCUUAUUAUUUAUUAUUAUUUUACUUUUAAAAUUUUUUAAUAAUUAGUAAAUUAGAAUUAGAUUAUUUUAUUAAAUUAGUAUAUGUUUAUAUGUUUUUUCAGAAGUUUAUCUAUCUGAAGCAGAUUUGAAGAAUCGUUGCUUGCAAAAGAUUGAAACCUUUUUAAAAGGUUGUGGAAGGAGUUUUCAAGAUUUUUCAACAAUGCCAUUACCUGUCUAUAAUGAGGAUGAGGUCGAUUAUAGCAACAGAUUAAUUCGAGAUGAAAUGCGUUACAAUAAAGGUGCUUUAACUGAUGAACAUCAAGAAUUGCUACAAAAUUUAACUGAUGAACAUAAAGCAGUUUACAAAAAGAUUAUGUCAGCAGUUAUUACAAAUAGUGGUGGAUUUUUCUUUUUAUACGGCUUUGGAGGUACAGGAAAAACUUUUAUUUGGAGGACAUUAUCAGCAGCUAUACGAUCUAAAGGAGAUAUUGUUUUGACAGUAGCUUCUAGCGGGAUUGCAUCUCUAUUGUUGCCUGGUGGUAGAACAUCACAUUCAAGAUUUGUUAUCCCUUUGAAUAUAAAUGAAGAUUCAACAUGUAAUAUAAAGCAAGGUACUCCUUUAGCAAAUUUGAUAGUCAAGGCAAAGUUGAUUAUUUGGGAUGAGGCUCCUAUGAUGCAUAAAUAUUGUUUUGAAGCUUUGGAUAAAACUUUAAGAGAUAUUAUUAGCUAUAAAGAUGCAUCUAAGGCAGAAUUACCAUUUGGAGGAAAAACAGUUGUUCUUGGAGGUGACUUUAGACAAAUUUUACCCGUUAUUCCAAAAGGUACUAGACAAGAUAUUGUUAAUGCAAUUGUAAAUUCAUCAUAUUUAUGGCCACAAUGUCAACUAUUGACUCUAACAAAGAAUGUGAGGUUACAAAGCAAUGCAAACGAUACACAUUUGGAAGAAUUGAGAGAUUUUUCUAAUUGGAUAUUGAAAGUUGGGGAUGGUAGCAUUGGAAGUUCAAUUGAUGGAAUAGACAAAGUUUUAAUACCUAAUGAUCUUCUAAUAAAUGAGUAUAUUGAUCCUAUAGCAUCUAUUGUUGAAAGUAUUUAUCCAGAUUUCAUCACUAAUUGCAAUGAUCCAGAGUACCUUCAACAAAGAGCCAUUCUUGCUCCAACUCUUGAUAUGGUUGAAUCGAUAAAUCAGUAUAUGAUUACUCUUAAUCAUAAUCCUGAGAAAUCAUAUUUAAGUUCUGAUAAAAUUUGCAGGUCUGAUCAUACUUAUUCAGCUUUGGAACAUGUACAUACCCCUGAAUUUUUGAACAAUAUUAAAUGUUCUGGCGUUCCAAAUCAUUCAAUCACUUUAAAGGUUGGGGUUCCAGUGAUGUUACUAAGAAAUAUCGAUCAGUCAGCGGGAUUAUGUAAUGGAACUAGAUUGAUUGUUACUAAACUUGGAAAUCAAGUAAUUGAAGCAAAGGUUUUAUCUGGACAGAUGGUUGGCCGGAAGGUAUUUAUUCCAAGAAUGACUUUAACACCUUCAGAUUAUAGAAUUCCUUUUAAGUUUCAAAGAAGACAGUUUCCUAUAACUGUAUCAUUUGCUAUGACAAUCAAUAAGAGUCAAGGACAGUCUUUAUCUCAUGUGGGCUUAUUUCUGAAGAAGCCAGUGUUUACGCAUGGACAUUUAUAUGUUGCUCUUUCCAAAGUGACAAAUAGAAAGGGAUUAAAAAUACUUACUUACGAUGAAGAUGGGCAAAUAAGUAAUGAAGCCACAAAUGUAGUAUAUAAAGAAGUACUCCAAGACUUAUUUGACAUACAUUGUAUUUUUUAACUUUUAUAUAUAUACUACAAUUUUUGUUGUGUAUGUUACAAUAACUUUUAUAUUAACUGUUAUAUAUGUUUUAGGUUUCAUUAAUAAUGUAAUUUAACUUAGUAAGUUAACAUUAAGUAGGUACACAUUAAUAAAAAAAGACAAAGAAAGUCCAAAUUACUUUGAAAUAUGCAAUAGUCGAUAUGUACUAACCUUAAUUAGCUAAUUAUAAUCACUGCUAUUUUCCAUCGAUACACUAGCAGAAAAAAAAUCUUCCCAUUAUCAACUUCUCCGCCAUCUACAAUACACUUAUUAAAAAGCAAAUAUGAAAAUAUAUUAGGCAAUUUUUUUCAGUUAGAAUGCAUUAAGACAGAAAUUGUAUUAUGAAACAUUGCUCAAAAUAGUUGUAUAUAUAUAAAUUAUCAUAAACUACACAAAUCUAUAUAUUAAUACUACUAUUAAACAUUAAUAAUAAAUACAACUUCAUAGUUAUCAGAUAGUUUUAAAUACGAGUACAGAUAGAUUAUAAGACUUCACACAUUUACAAUCUUUACUAUUUUUUUAACUUUACUCAUUUAUCUAAAAAGUAAAAGUCACAAGUUCCUAUAUUUUAAGGUCAUUUUAAACAAAUUAUGAUUUGGAAACCAAGAAAAUGAUAACUUUUUCUUAUAAUAUAUAAUAAACUGUGUCUUGAAAAUUCACAUUAAAAAUUUUCAAGUACAAUUUACUCCGGCUUGCUUGGAAAACUGUAACUCAGAUUAUAUAUACAAAAUCUCUGAAUCACCAAACAAGAUACCAAAAUCUUUAUCAACAUAAGCUUAUUAUAGCUUUGCAAUAACAUGCAUUUACUACUUUAUAAUUUAAAUUAAAGUUAAACUAUUAGCCGUAUCUGACCAUCCCAAAUAGAUAUGAAGGAGACAUAACCUGAUAAAUCUCAUUAAAAUUAAUCCAAAACAAGAACUACUUCAUGCUAAUAUAUUCUUCAAUUGAAGUUUUCAUUAUGAAGGAUCAAUAUAAAAAAAUGUCAAAAAUUUAACUCACCAUUUCACAGUACAUUGAAUUUUUGUCGGAACGAUACUAGAUCUGAAAACAACUCCUAUCAAAUGUUUUAUGCAAUAUAUAUUAAUCUUAACCUGCUUGAAGAAAGUCAUUUUUAUGCUAUGUUAUCAUUUGCAUGUUCAAAUGUUGAAAUUCUAAAAUUAACUUUACCAUAUAUUUGCAGAAGACAUUCAUAGUAGAAAAGACAAUAGAAGAUUUACUAAAGAGAUGAAAGAAAUAGCACUCACAACAUUGACAAAUCACUCAGAAACUUAGCGAAGAUCCACACUCGGAAGAGGUACCUCACCUUUCAAAUCUGGAAAAUUUUGUUCAUAUUUUGGUCUCUUUCCAGAGAGAUCCAUUUUGUUUGUUUUUUACGUUUUUCCCUUUUUACUUUCCAAUUACUUUUGGAUUUUGGUGGGUUGUCCAAAAGUCUAUUUGAUUUUACUUUUUUCCAAUUCACUUAGAUUGACCAUAUUUUAAUAAAACUAAUAAAUACAUAUACA